rnacentral:lncRNA from 1 species
GUGAGGCCAUUAGUGCCUCGGCCAGUGUGCUGCCACCCUCCUCGGGCGACGUGCCGCCACUAUUGGUGCCGCUUCCGGUGGAGGAGGUCUUCUUCCUUCGUUUUUUGUGCUGAACAUAUUUUUCUCUCUCUUAAUCAGAUUUUUCUACUUGGCAUAAAUCCAACGACCCCCUUUUUCUAUAAAUAGGGGCCCUUCCUUCCCAUUUUCUCCACAGUUCAAUUCUUCUACCUUUU